GCCAGGCGUGGUGGCCCACGCCUGUAAUCCCAGCAGCUCAGGAGGCAGAGGCAGGAGGAUCACAAGUUCAAAGCCAGCCUCAGCUAAAGCAAGGGACUAAGCAACUCAGUGAGACCCUGUCUCUA
rnacentral:sRNA from 1 species